UUUUCGAGCGAUAUAUUUAUGGUUUUCUGUUCUCAAAAGAAUAUAAGCGAAGAUGUUCACUUCCCUGUAAUUGGAAUGAGUACACUUUAAAUAAUUUAACAAGGACCUAUUGGAGGACAAGUCUGGUGCCAGCAUCUGCGGUAAUUCCAGCGCCAAUAGCGUAUAUUAAAGUUUUUGUGGUUACAACGUUCGUAGUUGAACUUGUGCUCCAUACGGGUAGUACGCCUAUCAAUUGGGUUUGUACAUUACUCUAUGGUAUGUGAGCGUAACCGAUGAAGUUAGUUAAUAUGUAAU
rnacentral:ncRNA from 1 species